rnacentral:rRNA from 1 species
AGUGAACGCUGGCGGUAGGCCUAACACAUGCAAGUCGAACGGCAGCACAGUAAGAGCUUGCUCUUACGGGUGGCGAGUGGCGGACGGGUGAGGAAUACAUCGGAAUCUACUUUUUCGUGGGGGAUAACGUAGGGAAACUUACGCUAAUACCGCAUACGUCCUACGGGUGAAAGCAGGGGAUCUUCGCACCUUGCGCGAUUCAAUGAGCCGAUGUCGGAUUAGCUAGUUGGCGGGGUAAAGGCCCACCAAGGCGACGAUCCGUAGCUGGUCUGAGAGGAUGAUCAGCCACACUGGAACUGAGACACGGUCCAGACUCCUACGGGAGGCAGCAGUGGGGAAUAUUCGGCAAUGGGCGAAAGCCUGAUCCAGCAAUACCGCGUGAGUGAAGAAGGCCUUCGGGUUGUAAAGCCCUUUUGUUGGGAAAGAAAAGCAGCAGGUUUAUCCACGGCUGUUCUGACGGUACCCAAAGAAUAAGCACCGGCUAACUUCGUG